GAUGAACGCUGGCGGCGUGCCUAAUACAUGCAAGUCGAGCGAACAGACGAGGAUCUUGCUCCUCUGACGUUAGCGGCGGACGGGUGAGUCACACGUGGAUAACCUCCCUAUAAGACUGGGAUAACUUCGGGAAACCGGCGCUAAUACCGGAUAAUAUAUUGAACCGCAUGGUUCGAUAGUGAAAGACGGUUGUUCUGUCACUUAUCGAUGGAUCCGCGCCGCAUUAGCUAGUUGGUACGGUAACGGCUUACCAAGGCAGCGAUGCGUAGCCGACCUGAGAGGGUGGUAGGCCGCCCUGGAACUGAGCCACGGUCCAUAGUACUACGGUAGGCAGCAGUAGGGAACCUUCCGCAAAGGGCGAAAGCCUGACGGAGCAAGGCCGAGCGAGUUAUGACGGUCUCCGGAGCGUAAAACUCUGUUAUGAGGUAAGAACAAAUGUGUAAGUAACUAUGCCCUUCUUGACGGUAACUAAUAAGAAAGCCACGGCUAACUACGUG
rnacentral:rRNA from 1 species